rnacentral:rRNA from 1 species
UACGGAGGAUCCAAGCGUUAUCCGGAUUUAUUGGGUUUAAAGGGUGCGUAGGCGGCUUUUUAAGUCAGGGGUGAAAACUUGCGGCUCAACCGUAAGCUUGCCUUUGAUACUGAGGAGCUUGAAUACACUUGAGGUAGGCGGAAUGUGCCAAGUAGCGGUGAAAUGCAUAGAUAUGUCACAGAACACCAAUUGCGAAGGCAGCUUACUAAAGUGAGAUUGACGCUGAGGCACGAAAGCGUGGGGAUCAAAACAGG